rnacentral:rRNA from 1 species
CYUUMSGSSGUUCUAUUMAUGCAGUCGAGCGGACAGAAGGGAGCUUGCUCCCGGAUGUUAGCGGCGGACGGGUGAGUAACACGUGGGUAACCUGCCUGUAAGACUGGGAUAACUCCGGGAAACCGGAGCUAAUWCCGGAUAGUUCCUUGAACCGCAUGGUUCAAGGAUGAAAGACGGUUUCGGCUGUCACUUACAGAUGGACCCGCGGCGCAUUAGCUAGUUGGUGAGGUAACGGCUCACCAAGGCGACGAUGCGUAGCCGACCUGAGAGGGUGAUCGGCCACACUGGGACUGAGACACGGCCCAGACUCCUACGGGAGGCAGCAGUAGGGAAUCUUCCGCAAUGGACGAAAGUCUGACGGAGCAACGCCGCGUGAGUGAUGAAGGUUUUCGGAUCGUAAAGCUCUGUUGUUAGGGAAGAACAAGUGCAAGAGUAACUGCUUGCACCUUGACGGUACCUAACCAGAAAGCCACGGCUAACUACGUGCCAGCAGCCGCGGUAAUACGUAGGUGGCAAGCGUUGUCCGGAAUUAUUGGGCGUAAAGGGCUCGCAGGCGGUUUCUUAAGUCUGAUGUGAAAGCCCCCGGCUCAACCGGGGAGGGUCAUUGGAAACUGGGAAACUUGAKUGCAGAAGAGGAGAGUGGAAUUUCCACGUGUASCGGUGAAWYGCKUAGAGAUGUGGAGGAMCACCAGYGGCGAAGGCGACUCUCCUGGUCUSUAMCUGACGCUGAKGAGCGAAAGCGUGGGGAGCGAACMGGAWUUAGWUACCCUGGUAGUCCACC